rnacentral:rRNA from 1 species
UCAGCUCGUGUCGUGAGAUGUUGGGUUAAGUCCCGCAACGAGCGCAACCCUACGUUUAGUUGCUAACGCGUGAAGGCGAGCACUCUAGACGAACUGCCGUUGACAAACGGAGGAAGGUGGGGAUGACGUCAAAUCAUCAUGCCCCUUAUGUUCUGGGCUACACACGUGCUACAAUGGCCGGUACAGACGGACGCAAAGCCGCGAGGUGGAGCAAAUCCUAAAAAGCCGGUCUCAGUUCGGAUUGCAGGCUGCAAUUCGCCUGCAUGAAGUCGGAAUCGCUAGUAAUCGCAGGUCAGCAUACUGCGGUGAAUACGUUCCCGGGCCUU